CCUACGGGAGGCAGCAGUGGGGAAUAUUGCACAAUGGGGGAAACCCUGAUGCAGCGACGCCGCGUGAGUGAAGAAGGAUUUCGGGAUGUAAAGCUCUAUCAGCAGGGAAGAAAAUGACGGUACCUGAGUAAGAAGCCCCGGCUAACGACGUGCCAGCAGCCGCGGUAAUACGGAGGGGGCAAGCGUUAUCCGGAUUUACUGGGUGUAAAGGGAGCGGAGACGGCAGCACAAGUCUGGAGUGAAAUGCCGGGGCUUAACCCCGGAACUGCUUUGGAAACUGUGCAGCUAGAGUGCAGGAGAGGUCAGUGGCUUUCCUCGUGUAGCGGUGACAUGCGUAGCUCUUAGGAGGAACACCAGUGUCGCAGGCGGCUUACUGGACUGUACCUGCCGUUGCGGCUCGACAGCGUGGGGAGCAAACAGGAUUAGAUCCCCGUGUAGUC
rnacentral:rRNA from 1 species